rnacentral:rRNA from 1 species
AUUGAACGCUGGCGGCAUGCUUUACACAUGCAAGUCGAACGGUAACAGGCCUUCGGGUGCUGACGAGUGGCGAACGGGUGAGUAAUGCAUCGGAACGUGCCCAGAGGUGGGGGAUAACGCAGCGAAAGCUGUGCUAAUACCGCAUGUGAUCUGAGGAUGAAAGCGGGGGACCAAGCAGCAAUGUUUGGCCUCGCGCCUCUGGAGCGGCCGAUGUCAGAUUAGGUAGAUGGUGGGGUAAAGGCCUACCAAGCCGACGAUCUGUAGCUGGUCUGAGAGGACGACCAGCCACACUGGGACUGAGACACGGCCCAGACUCCUACGGGAGGCAGCAGUGGGGAAUUUUGGACAAUGGGCGCAAGCCUGAUCCAGCAAUGCCGCGUGCGGGAAGAAGGCCUUCGGGUUGUAAACCGCUUUUGUACGGAACGAAAAGGCUCUGGCUAAUACCUGGGGCUGAUGACGGUACCGUAAGAAUAAGCACCGGCUAACUACGUG